AAUAGAUACCCAGGUAGUCCACCCCGUAAACGUUGGGAACUAGUUGUGGGGUCCUUUCCACGGAUUCCGUGACGCAGCUAACGCAUUAAGUUCCCCGCCUGGGGAGUACGGCCGCAAGGCUAAAACUCAAAGGAAUUGACGGGGACCCGCACAAGCGGCGGAGCAUGCGGAUUAAUUCGAUGCAACGCGAAGAACCUUACCAAGGCUUGACAUACACCAGAACACCCUAGAAAUAGGGGACUCUUUGGACACUGGUGAACAGGUGGUGCAUGGUUGUCGUCAGCUCGUGUCGUGAGAUGUUGGGUUAAGUCCCGCAACGAGCGCAACCCUCGUUCUAUGUUGCCAGCACGUAAUGGUGGGAACUCAUGGGAUACUGCCGGGGUCAACUCGGAGGAAGGUGGGGAUGACGUCAAAUCAUCUUGCCCCUUAUGUCUUGGGCUUCACGCAUGCUACAAUGGCCGGUACAAAGGGCUGCAAUACCGUGAGGUGAGCGAAUCCCAAAAAGCCGGUCCCAGUUCGGAUUGAGGUCUGCAACUCGACCUCA
rnacentral:rRNA from 1 species